GACGAACGCUGGCGGCGUGCUUAACACAUGCAAGUCGAACGAAGUGGCGAACGGGUGAGUAACGCGUAAUCAACCUGCCCUUCAGAGGGGGACAACUGUUGGAAACGACUGCUAAUACAGCAUACUGUAGGAGGGGAUUGCGUGUGAUUCGCAAGUUGGCGGGGAAACGGCCCAUCAAGGCGAUGAUCAGCAGCCGGUCUGAGAGGAUGAUCGGCCACAUUGGGACUGAGACACGGCCCAGACUCCUACGGGAGGCAGCAGUGGGGAAGCUUCCGCAAUGGGCGAAAGCCUGACGGAGCAACGCCGCGUGAGUGAUGAAGGUCUUCGGAUCGUAAAGCUCUGUUAUUAGGGAAGCGGUACCUAAUCAGAAAGCCACGGCUAACUACGUGCCAGCAGCCGCGGUAAUAC
rnacentral:rRNA from 1 species